GAGUUGCUCAUACAAUUCGGCGAGUCUCAGCAUAGAGUGUCCUUCGGAUGAAGAUGAGCUCGGCGAGUUGUUCAUACAACUCGGCGAGUAGGAUGAAGGACUAUUAGUCUUUGGUUUAGAUGGAAAACUCGUCAAGUCAAUGCCUAACUCGACAAGUAGAGACGGGUUAGGGUCAGACAUAGGGAUAGGGACUCGGCGACUUGGCAAGCCAACUCGGCGAGUCGGGUCAACUGGCAGUUGACUUUGACUUUGACUCUUGGUUUGGUUAGGGGUAAAUGGUCAUUUUACCCUGAGGUCGGUUAGCAGUAUUUGACUAAGUGUUUUGUGGGAAUUAUUAGCCGGAGGAUUUCCGGAGCAGCAGCAGCAGAAGACAGUCAGUUCCCACACAGAUCAGCAGCUACAUUGAGGUGAGUUACCUUCCACUAGUGGUGGAAGAAAUGAUGGAGCAUUACCCCGAGUUGUUUCAGGAUCGAGCAGCAGACUUCGAGGACGAAUUCUAAAAUAUGUGGGGGAGAUUUGUAGCACCUGGUUCCUGGUACGUAAAAUUUAUCUAAGUAUUUUACGUUUUUAGCCUUGGACUCGGCGAGUUGUAGGCCCGACUCGCCGAGUAGAGACGGGUUUGGGGGCACGUUUAAGUUGGCGACUCGGCGACUCCACAUUCUGGACUCGGCGAGUCCCCGCUAUCUGAUGAAACCCUAAAUUCCAAGGGUUUGCACCCUAUUUAAACCAACCUUAUGCGCCCCAACCUCGCCCCCUUCACCCUCAGAUCUCCCAACAUCGUUCAAACCCUUAUUCCUUGUGAGAUUGAAGUGCUUUGGUGUGUUUCUUGAAGAUUUUGAGAAGAAAGAAGAGUAGAUCAAGAAGAGAAGAAUGAGGCCAGGCAUCCUUGUGCUAUCUCAGUGAUUUCCUUGAGGUAUAACUCGGUUUCCCUCUGUUUUCAUGCUUAUAGUCCCUUAUAGCUCCAUAAAAGUCCUUCUUGAGCCUUUCCCCAAGCUUGAUUGUGUAUUAGGGUUUGUAAUAAGUUGUUUAGCCUCUAGAUCUAGGCAUGAUUGAGCUCCAGGAGCUUGGAUCUACUGCCUUUAUGGAGCCAUAUUGCAUGAAAGCCCUAGAUAUACCCUUUUAGUGCAUUUUGAGCCCUAAAACCUUCUUUGGUGAUUAUUUACACGUAAAGUUGGAAACUUUAUGUGUUAUUCAUGCCCUAGAAACCCAGAUUUAUGAAUGGCAUGAGCUGGAUUCAAGCAAAAUCGAGUAUAUAGUAUUUACAUGUGACAGACUCGACGAGUCGAGUCACGAGUCCCCGAGUUUCCCCCUUUUCGCGUUUGCGGGGUGGAGUAGUGAGUCAUGGGGUGUGACUCAGUGGGCCGGAAUCCAGACUCACUCAUGAAGGAACUCGACGAGUUCAAGGCAAUCCUCUUGCCUCAAGAACAGACUCGGCGAGUCUCAGCAUAGAAUGUUCUUCGGAUGAAGAUCAGACUCGACGAGUCGAGUCACGAGUCCCCGAGUUUCCCCCUUUUCGCGUUUGCGGGGUGGAGUAGUGAGUCAUGGGGUGUGACUCAGUGGGCCGGAAUCCAGACUCACUCAUGAAGGAACUCGACGAGUUCAAGGCAAUCCUCUUGCCUCAAGAACAGACUCGGCGAGUCUCAGCAUAGAAUGUUCUUCGGAUGAAGAUGAACUCGGCGGGUUGUUCAUACAACCCGGCGAGUAGGAUGAAGGACUAUUGGUCUUUGGUUUAGAAGGAAAACUUGUCGAGUCAUUGCCUAACUCGACGAGUAGAGAUGGGUUAUGGUCAGACAUAAGGAUAGGGACUCGGCGAGUCGGGUCAACUGGCAGUUGACUUUGACUUUGACUCUUGGUUUGGUUAGGGGUAAAUGGUCAUUUUACCCUGAGGUCGGUUAGCAGUAUUUGACUAAGUGUUUUGUG
rnacentral:lncRNA from 1 species